UUUGGGUUGACUUUUCCAGUUUCAUUAAAAAAUUAUUAUUUCCAAACUUCUGUAUUUCCCCUAAAAUUGUAUUCUUUGUUUACUUUCUGAGUGUAGAACCUUCUUAUAGUAAAUAUUAUUGAUUCAUUGCUUUUUUAGCAAAAUUUUAUAUCGAUAAAUGUGAAUUUUCAAAGAAACACCCUUACUUUUUUAUUUUCAGAAAGGAAUUUAUGUGAACUCUUUAAAAGACUAACAAUUACACUGGAUGUAAAACACUUUCUUGGUGUAAAUCAUUUAAACUUGUUUAAUUAGCUGGAAUUCUAUUUCUGUAACCCUCUUUGUCUCUUUGUUCAUAUUAUAUCUUUGUAAUGUUCUUUCUUGCAUUAAAAAAGUAGAUUCCCCCUAUGUGUAAAGCGCUUAAAGUGCCAAGAAAAGCGCUAUAUAAAUGUAAGGAAUUUUUAUUGUUAUAAUAAAGCGCUGUUCUACCAUCAUGAUAUAGCCAGACUAAAAUAAAUCGCAUUAUUUCGAUUAGUUUACUCUAAAGCAAACACUCCACUCACUGACAAACAUAGAAGUAAAGUUGGUUUUAUAUUCGCACAUUCCGACCUCUGCGUUCAAUAAGUUUGUUAAUCAGCAAGUAAAGAAUCCAAAUUCAAUUAUUUACCGUUGUAGUCGAUUAUGAGCAAAAUGUACGCCACACUUUUCUGUCAAACUCGGCGUUUUAAAGGAGUAGAAAAACACGCUUACCUCUAUGAAGGAGGUGACGUCAUCGCUUUUUUGAGGGACCGUCUACAAACUAUCAGUUUGUAAAAUCAAGCUGUCAACGUUCACUGUCUAUAAUUGUACGCAAGCAAAAGAUGGCCAGAUUGAGACUUGUGAACUUCACCACUGGCUCCCUCCUUUAAAAUGUUACUCUGCUGAAGUACAUGUGAAUAAAAAAAUAUUUUCAAGACAGCAAAUAACAGUGUCAUGAAAUGAGUUCGGCUCAUGUGGACAAAAAGAGUCCAAAAUGAGAAUCUAUGCAUUUGGGGAUUUACAAUGCUAUUAUUCACUUUGGAAUGUUUUUUUUUUUUACUUGCAUGUAUUUGCACAAUAUUUUUAUACAUAAUUGCCACAUAUUACAUAGUAAUGUAAUAAGUUGUACUUUAAUUACAUAUUAAGUGAGAUUCUUGCCAAUGUUUGUUUCAUGUCCCAUGUGUCAAUAUAGAGCUGCAAUAGGAAGACCAGCAGACCUUUUGUAAUUUGUGUUUGUAAUCAAUGUAAUUGCAUGAUAAAAUGAUGAAAUGGGAGAUGUAAUGGAUUUAUUCUUAAAUUAUCAUUGUGUAUGAAGUGUGCUUUUUAAAUAAACUUGUUUUGAAAUGCAAGAAAAA